rnacentral:rRNA from 7 species
UGGUGGGUAGUUUGACUGGGGCGGUCUCCUCCUAAAGAGUAACGGAGGAGCACGAAGGUUGGCUAAUCCUGGUCGGACAUCAGGAGGUUAGUGCAAUGGCAUAAGCCAGCUUGACUGCGAGCGUGACGGCGCGAGCAGGUGCGAAAGCAGGUCAUAGUGAUCCGGUGGUUCUGAAUGGAAGGGCCAUCGCUCAACGGAUAAAAGGUACUCCGGGGAUAACAGGCUGAUACCGCCCAAGAGUUCAUAUCGACGGCGGUGUUUGGCACCUCGAUGUCGGCUCAUCACAUCCUGGGGCUGAAGUAGGUCCCAAGGGUAUGGCUGUUCGCCAUUUAAAGUGGUACGCGAGCUGGGUUUAGAACGUCGUGAGACAGUUCGGUCCCUAUCUGCCGUGGGCGCUGGAGAACUGAGGGGGGCUGCUCCUAGUACGAGAGGACCGGAGUGGACGCAUCACUGGUGUUCGGGUUGUCAUGCCAAUGGCACUGCCCGGUAGCUAAA